GACGAACGCUGGCGGCGUGCUUAACACAUGCAAGUCGAACGGAAAGGCCCUGCUUUUGUGGGGUGCUCGAGUGGCGAACGGGUGAGUAACACGUGAGUAACCUGCCCUUGACUUUGGGAUAACUUCAGGAAACUGGGGCUAAUACCGGAUAGGAGCUCCUGCUGCAUGGUGGGGGUUGGAAAGUUUCGGCGGGUGGGGAUGGACUCGCGGCUUAUCAGCUUGUUGGUGGGGUAGUGGCUUACCAAGGCUUUGACGGGUAGCCGGCCUGAGAGGGUGACCGGCCACAUGGGGACUGAGAUGCGGCCCAGACUCCUACGGGAGGCAGCAGUGGGGAAUAUUGCACAGUGGGCGGAAGCCUGAUGCAGCAACGCCGCGUGCGGGAUGACGGCCUGCGGGUUGUAAACCGCUUUCGCCUGUGACGAAGCGUGAGUGACGGUAAUGGGUAAAGAAGCACCGGCUAACUACGU
rnacentral:rRNA from 1 species